GAUGAACGCUGGCGGCGUGCCUAAUACAUGCAAGUCGAGCGAAUGGAUUAAGAGCUUGCUCUUAUGAAGUUAGCGGCGGACGGGUGAGUAACACGUGGGUAACCUGCCCAUAAGACUGGGAUAACUCCGGGAAACCGGGGCUAAUACCGGAUAACAUUUUGAACCGCAUGGUUCGAAAUUGAAAGGCGGCUUCGGCUGUCACUUAUGGAUGGCCCCGCGUCGCAUUAGCUAGUUGGUGAGGUAACGGCUAACCAAGGCAACGAUGCGUAGCCGACCUGAGAGGGUGAUCGGCCACACUGGGACUGAGACACGGCCCAGACUCCUACGGGAGGCAGCAGUAGGGAAUCUUCCGCAAUGGACGAAAGUCUGACGGAGCAACGCCGCGUGAGUGAUGAAGGCUUUCGGGUCGUAAAACUCUGUUGUUAGGGAAGAACAAGUGCUAGUUGAAUAAGCUGGCACCUUGACGGUACCUAACCAGAAAGUCACGGCUAACUACGUGCCAGCAGCCGCAGUAA
rnacentral:rRNA from 1 species